CACGUAGGGACCAAGCGUUGUCCGGAUUUAUUGGGCGUAAAGAGCGUGUAGGCGGCCCGGUAAGUCCGCUCUGAAAGUCCAGGGCUCAACCCUGGAAUGCGGGUGGAUACUGCCGGGCUAGAAUCCGGGAGAGGGAUGCGGAAUUCCAGGUGUAGCGGUGAAAUGCGCAGAUAUCAGGAGGAACACCGGUGGCGAAGGCGGGUCUCUGGGCCGUAACUGACGCUGAGGAGCGAAAGCAUGGGGAGCGAACAGG
rnacentral:rRNA from 1 species